rnacentral:rRNA from 1 species
UGGCGGCAGGCUUAACACAUGCAAGUCGAGCGGGCGUAGCAAUACGUCAGCGGCAGACGGGUGAGUAACGCGUGGGAACAUACCUUUUGGUUCGGAACAACACAGGGAAACUUGUGCUAAUACCGGAUAAGCCCUUACGGGGAAAGAUUUAUCGCCGAAAGAUUGGCCCGCGUCUGAUUAGCUAGUUGGUGAGGUAACGGCUCACCAAGGCGACGAUCAGUAGCUGGUCUGAGAGGAUGAUCAGCCACAUUGGGACUGAGACACGGCCCAAACUCCUACGGGAGGCAGCAGUGGGGAAUAUUGGACAAUGGGCGCAAGCCUGAUCCAGCCAUGCCGCGUGAGUGAUGAAGGCCCUAGGGUUGUAAAGCUCUUUUGUGCGGGAAGAUAAUGACGGUACCGCAAGAAUAAGCCCCGGCUAACUUCGUGCCAGCAGCCGCGGUAAUACGAAGGGGGCUAGCGUUGCUCGGAAUCACUAGGCGUAAAGGGUGCGUAGGCGGGUCUUUAAGUCAGGGGUGAAAUCCUGGAGCUCAACUCCAGAACUGCCUUUGAUACUGAGGAUCUUGAGUUAGGGAGAGGUGAGUGGAACUGCGAGUGUAGAGGUGAAAUUCGUAGAUAUUCGCAAGAACACCAGUGGCGAAGGCGGCCUGCUGGGCUGUUGCUGACGCUGAGGCGCGACAGCG